rnacentral:rRNA from 1 species
GAUGAACGCUGGCGGCGCGCCUAACACAUGCAAGUCGAACGAUUAAAGCACCUUCGGGUGUGUAUAAAGUGGCGAACGGCUGAGUAACACGUGGGCAACCUACCCCUUUCAUUGGGAUAGCCUCGGGAAACCGUGGGUAAUACCAAAUAUUCCGCAACCUUCGCAUGAAGGAUGCGGGAAAGCUCCGGCGGAAAGGGAUGGGCCCGCGGCCUGUUAGCUUGUUGGCGGGGUAGUGGCCCACCAAGGCGAUUAUGGGUAGCCGGGUUGAGAGACCGACCGGCCAGAUUGGGACUGAGACACGGCCCAGACUCC